UACGUAGGGGGCAAGCGUUGUCCGGAAUCAUUGGGCGUAAAGAGCGCGCAGGCGGCUUGGUAAGUCGGAUGUGAAAUCCCGAGGCUCAACCUCGGGUCUGCAUCCGAUACUGCCCGGCUAGAGGUAGGUAGGGGAGAUCGGAAUUCCUGGUGUAGCGGUGAAAUGCGCAGAUAUCAGGAGGAACACCGGUGGCGAAGGCGGAUCUCUGGGCCUUACCUGACGCUCAGGCGCGAAAGCUAGGGGAGCGAACUGG
rnacentral:rRNA from 1 species